rnacentral:rRNA from 1 species
CACGUAGGGUGCGAGCGUUGUCCGGAAUUAUUGGGCGUGAAGAGCGCGCAGGCGGCUGGUCAAGUCCGAUGUGAAAGCUCCCGGCUUAACUGGGAAAUUGCAUCGGAAACUGAUCGGCUUGAAGGUGGGAGAGGGUAGUGGAAUUCCCGGUGUAGUGGUGAAAUGCGUAGAUAUCGGGAGGAACACCAGUGGCGAAGGCGACUACCUGGCCCACUCUUGACGCUGAGGCGCGAAAGCUAGGGGAGCGAACGGG